ensembl:lncRNA
AUAAAACAUUCAUAUUUCAUUCAACAUAUUUCAGGAGGUAGCUGCAAGAACAAAACAGAUUAGAGCAAACAGUUAAAAAGUGAGUAACUUUUUCUUUUCACAGGUCACAUUGCAAGAACAGGUAAGUAUUUUCUUUUCACAGAUCACAUUGCAGGAACAGGUAAGUAUUUUCUUUUCCUUUAAAAUUUUUUUUUUUACAUUACAGGAACAGGUAACAGGCCUUUCAUACGGACGCGUUGGAAUGCGUUGAUCCGUCAGGGUUGACGGAUCUCCAUUCACUUUGAAUGGGGUGACGUCAUCCUUUGCCGAACUGAAUUGUGGCUCCGUUGGGUUCCCGUGCGUUGCGUUUCAUGCUUUGCUUGCAGCAAGAGUUGAAGAAUGUUCAACUUUUCGUGAGGCAAUGCAUGCGUCAGCCAAUUAAAUUGCCUUUCAUGCAUAACUGACAGCACAGGCGUUAGCCAAUCAGAUCCCGUAUAUGCUCACGUCCAAAAAGCGGCAAGCUCCAAAAAAAAAAA